rnacentral:tRNA from 2 species
GUGUGUGAAGUCCAGCGGCGAGGACAGUGGGCUGUAACCCCAUACAAUGAUACAUCGUAGGUUCGAGUCCUACCUCACUCACCA